GAAGCGGCAACAGCUCAAAUUUGAAAUCUGGCGCAAGCCCGAGUUGUAAUUUGUAGAGGAUGCUUCAGGGCAGCGGCCGGUCUAAGUUCCUUGGAACAGGACGUCAUAGAGGGUGAGAAUCCCGUAUGCGACCGGUUGGCACCCGUCACGUAGCUCCUUCGACGAGUCGAGUUGUUUGGGAAUGCAGCUCUAAAUGGGAGGUAAAUUUCUUCUAAAGCUAAAUAUUGGCCAGAGACCGAUAGCGCACAAGUAGAGUGAUCGAAAGAUGAAAAGCACUUUGGAAAGAGAGUUAAAAAGCACGUGAAAUUGUUGAAAGGGAAGCGCAUGCAACCAGACUUGUCGGCGGCGUUCCGCCGGUCUUCUGACCGGUCUAUUCGUCGCCGGCAGGCCAGCAUCAUCUGGGCGCGCCGGACAAAGGCGUGGGGAAUGUAGCUCCUCGGAGUGUUAUAGCCCCGCGCACAAUACGGCGCCGCCCGGGUGAGGUCCGCGCUUCGGCUAGGAUGCUGGCGUAAUGGUUGUCUGCGGCCCGUCUUGAAACACGGACCAAGGAGUCUAACAUCUAUGCGAGUGUUCGGGUGUCAAACCCCUACGCGUAAUGAAAGUGAACGGAGGUGGGACGCGCACGCGGCACCAUCGACCGAUCCUGAUGUCUUCGGAUGGAUUUGAGUAAGAGCAUAGCUGUUGGGACCCGAAAGAUGGUGAACUAUGCCUGAAUAGGGUGAAGCCAGAGGAAACUCUGGUGGA
rnacentral:rRNA from 1 species